rnacentral:rRNA from 1 species
AUGGACGCGCUCUCCCUCAUCGACGUCUCCGGCGAGGAGGACGACUUCCUCCUCGACCUCGCCUCGCCGCCGCAGCACCCCGACCCGCCGCCCCGCGCCGCCCCAGGUGCUUCGGUGGUGGCCGCCGAUUCGGAGCAGCCCGCCGUCGGAUCUCCGCCGGGCGGGCAGGUCGUGGAUCCCGCGGAGCAGGCACCGGAGCGCGCGCAGUCCCCGAAGAGGACCAAGCCCAAGGGCGGCGUCAACCUCCGCAAGAGCCUCGCCUGGGACAAAGCCUUCUUCACCAGCGAAGGUGUUCUGGAUACUGAGGAAUUGGGCAUUGUGAACAGCACUUUCCGCAAGUCACAGGGUUCUAGGCUUCUGCCAGGAAUAGCAGAGGAAAUGAGGAGGUCAAUGGAGUCCACCACCUCCUCGCUGGAAAGUGAAAGCUUUGUGCUGGAAAGCCUUGAGACUGAGCUGUUUGACAAUGUCCGUGCUUCGAUUCAGAGGACGCUUGGGAAACCUGAUAAAGCUCCUAGUGUGGCUUCUGGAAGCUCAAAAACCCCCAGGGCCACAGCAAAGGCCCCUCCUGUCACAGCGAGAAAGGGGGUUGAUCGGAUACCUCAGACUCAGAGCAAGAUAAAGCCCCCUGCUUCAAUAAGCAAUGGUUCCGUUGGUGGUAGCAGACAAAGGCCCCAAGUCACCCUGAAAGAGCCUGCAGCUGCAAGAGUGGCUGUAUCGAAAGCUGCGGAAGCAAAACCAUCCUCAAAGCCUCCCAGAGCUCUGCCAAGAGUUGCUACAAUGAGAGCACCGACUAACACAGCUGUCACCUCUGGGAUUGCAGACAAAAGAAGCAGCACUGGAGGUGUAGUCAACAGGCAGGCAGUUGCCAAGUCUGCUAACAGUUCAGCCAGCGUGCCAUCUCGGCCUGGUGGGGGGACAAAGAACAACUCAACAUCAAAAUCUGGUGCUUUGUCGUCAGCAGCAAGUCCUUCCUUGCGUAGUGCUCCCAUGGCAGGUGGGAAAACAAAGUCACCGACCCUAAUCAGCAAGAACAGGACCGCUCAGAGGAUCCCUAUUCGUUCAUCAAGAUCUGAUAUCAGCAAGGUUGACCCAGCAAGGGCAUCAAGAAAUAAGAGUCACAGUGAGGGUGCAUCACCGACCAUUUCACCUAGCAGCUCCGUGGACAGCAUGAGUUCUGUGAUUUCUGGGGUUUCAACUGCAUCCACUGUAGGGAGAGCGAGUCAUACAUCUGAGACCUAUAGCACAAGGUCGUCUUCAUUGUCCCCUUCCAACAGAAAGAGCAAUGACCACCCUCCAACCACACUACGGAGGCCUGUUAUUGUUACAGAAGGACAGGCUUCAGGAGCAUUUGCUGAUAAUGUGAAAUCUAAUGUUGACACAUCAACCCAAGGAAAUGGUUUUAAACCAUCUGGUCUACGAAGGCCUACACCCAAGAUUGGAUAUUUUGAUGCUGAGAAAUCUGUUGAACAAAAAGCCGGUGCACGGGCACAACUGCAACCCACGAAGGUUCUGUUUUCACCGUUGGCCACACAGAACUCUUGGAUUCCUUCUACUCCAAAGACAAUCCCUGCAGCUCUUACCUUUGAGCAAGAAGAACCAAAAUCUAGGGCAGCAGCACCUUCUCAAACCAAAUCUAGGGCAGCAGCACCUUCACUGCCUCUCAAAGUUGCACAAACUGAAGUAAAACCAUCAAAGGUGACAGAGCCUGAAGCUUCUCAAGCUAAGGUAUCAACUCCACUGCCUCUCAGAGUUGCACAAACUGAAGUAAAACAAUCAAAGGUGACCGAGCCUGAAGCUUCUCAAGCCAAGGCAUCGACUCCACUGCCUCUCAGAGUUGCACAAACUGAAGUAAAACCAUCAAAGGUGACAGAGCAUGACGCUUCUCAAACUAAGGCAUCGGCUUCACUGCCCAUCAGAGUUGCACAAGCUGAAGUAGACCCAUUGAAGGUGUCAGAGCAUGAAGCUUCUCAAACUGAGGCAUUGCCUAUACUGUCUCCCAGAGUUGCACAGACUGAAGUAGAACCAGCAAAGGUGGCGGAGCAUGACAUUUUUGGAACAAAGGGGCCUUCAAUGCCUUUAAUUAGAGCUGCUCAAACUGAAAUAGAAACACCAAAGGUGUCAGAGCAUGAAACCCACAUGCAGGAGACUGGUCCAUUGGUAGUCGCCAUGGACAGUGCAGAGGAGGGCAUUCCAGCUUUGCAUCAGAAUGUCCAGGCCAAUGGUGAAGUAGAAUCGUCAAAGGUGUCUGAGCUUGAAGCACACGUGAAUGAGACUGGUUUGUUGCUCGCCAUGGGCAUUGCAGAGGAGGGCUUUCCAGCUUUGCAUGAGAAUGUCCAGGUUAAUGGUGAAGGAGAAUCAUCAAAGGUGUCGGAGCAUGAAGCACACAUGCAGGAGACUGGUCUGUUGGGCGCUAUGGACAUUGCAGAGGAGGGCUUUCCAGCUUUGCAUGAGAAUGUCCAGGUUAAUGGUGAAGGAGAAUCAUCAAAGGUGUCGGAGCAUGAAGCACACAUGCAGGAGACUGGUCUGUUGGUCGCUAUGGACAUUACAGAUGAGGAGGGCAUUCCAGCUUUGCAUGAGAAUGUCCAGGCUAAUGGUGAAGUAGAAUCAUCAACAGUUGAGCUGUCAUCAUGUACCUCUGGUCAGCAAGAAUCAGAAACUACAGCAGCACCUUGCGAGGAGAGCAGUCCUUCACAAAUCAAGGUAUCACCUUCUCUGCCACUUGGAGUUGCAAAAAUGGAAGUAGACCCACUGGAGGUGAUUGACCAUGAAGCAGAAACAUCGAAGGUGUCGGAGCAUGAAGCAUACAUGCUGGAGACUGGCCAAUUGGUUGCCAUGGACAUAGCAGAGGAGGGCAUUGCAGCUUUAAAUCAGAAUGUCCAGGCAAAUGGCGAUAUCAGUUCAUCAACUGUUGAGCUGUCAUCAGGUACCUCUGGUCAGCAACAAUCAGAAACUACAGCAGCACCUUGCGAGGUUAACACUUCUCAAACCGAGGUAUCGCCUUCACUGCCACUUGGAGUUGCAAAAAUGGAAGUAGAAUCACUGGAGGUGAUUGAGCAUGAAGCUUGCAUGCCCCAGGCCGGCCAAGUGCUGGCAGCCAUGGAUAUUGCAAAGGAGAACAUUCCAGCCAUGGAUACCGCAAAAGAGAACAUCCAGCCUGGUGGUUAUUUGAGUCCACUAAAGGAGAACAUUCUGGCUGCGCAUCAAAAUAUCCAGCCUGAAGAGCAUAUGACUCCUGUAAAGGGAAGCAUUCUUGCCUCACAUACAAAUGCGCAGGCUAUAGGGGAGAUGACUCCAAUGACUCUCCUGAGCCAGAAGCUGUCCUCCAUUUCUCUAGGACAAGCUAAUGGGGAGGCGACUCCAUUGACCCAGAAGGCGCCCUCCAUUUCUCAAGGACAAUCUAAUGGGGAGGCGACUCCAUUGAACCAGAAGCUGUCCUCCAUUUCUCAAGGACAAUCUAAUGGGGACGCGACUCCAUUGACCCAGAAGCUGUCCUCCAUUUCUCAAGGACAAUCUAAUGGGGACGCGACUCCAUUGACCCUGUUGGCGCAGAAGCUCUCCUCCAUUUCUCUUGGGGAUGCCACCGACUAG